GGCUUCGUAGCUCAACGGGUAGAGCGCUUACCACUUUCGAGUGUUCUGUUCCUGUCGCUGGUUCGAAUCCAGCCGAAGCCC
rnacentral:tRNA from 1 species